UUAUUUUGAGAUUUUUUUGCAAAUAUCCAACUACAAACUAUAAUUAUUAAAGGAUUUUCUUUAUUGAAAAUCUCUUUAGUUAAUUAAAUAAUAUUUAUUAUUUUCAAUUUAUCAUAUAAUCAAAUAUAUGGCAUACCCAAUUAUUACCUUUACUAUUUAUUUUGAGUUUUUCCUUUUGCAAAUAUCCAACUACUAACUAUAAUUAUUAGAGGAUAUUCUUUAUAGAAAACCUCUUUAGUUUGUUUUUUUUGGCAUUACUUAAUUAAAUAGUCUCAAGUGAUAAUUGUUAGAUUAUAUUCAUAUGAUCAUAUCCUUUACGAUAUCAUUUAAAUUCAAAAGAGUUUUGACAACACACUAUUAUAUGCAUAUUUUUCAUUAUAAUUAGUUUCAGUGUGGGUGAGUUUUAUUUAAAUAAUGCUAAGCUAUUUUGUCAAAAUCAUGUUUUUUUAUUUGAAAAUACGUUUACCAAUACAUUUAGUCAUUUCUUAACAACUGAUGAUUUAUUCGAUAUCACAUAUUUUUUGUUAAACAGAUGUCAGAUUAUUUAAUAAAAUAGCACGCGUUGGCAGAAGUACGAAAACUACUUUGGUCAAGCCAAACUAUAAUUAUUAGAGGAUUUUCUUUAUAGGAAACCUCUUUUGUUAAGUAAAUAAUAUUUAUUAUUUUUAGUUAAUUAAAUAGUCUCAAGCGAUAAUUGUUAGAUUAUAUUCAUAUGAUCAUAUCCUUUAAGAUAUCAUGUAAAUUAUACAAGAGUUUUGACAACAUGCUAUUUACACAUCUUUCAUUAAUUAGUUUCAGUUUAUGCAAGUUUUAUUUAAAUAAUUCUAAGUUAUUUUGUCAAUAUCAUUUUUCUUUUGUAUUUGAAGAUACAAUUACAAAUACAUUUAGUCAUUUCUUAACAACUGAUGAUUUAUUCGGUAUCACAUAUUUUUUGUUAUAAAAAAUGUCAUAUUAUUUAAUAAAAAAGCACACAUUGGAAAAAGGACGAAAACUAUUUUGGUCAACCCACACAAAUAAAUUUACCAUUUUUCACCAACAUCAUUUACCUAAUUAUAGCGAGAACCAAAUAAAGGUAUAAUAUAUUACUCAAUUAGCAUAAUAUAGGGAUGAUUAUAUGACUUAUAUACACUUUUAUUACGAAAACUAUUGUGAACAACACAAAAAAUACAUCACCACAUGAUCACACAUUUGGACAAAAGUAAUGUAUUAAAAACUACAUGAAUUAUAUGAAUAACAUGAAAACAUCCAUAAACUAAGAUGUGUUAUGUUAUUAACACCAUAAGUAUAAUUUUAAUAUCGUAAAAUAUAUCAGAUUUGAAAUUUGGUAUCACUGAAUAAAAAUUUAUUUGAUAAAUGGAUCAUACAAAUAAACACACAUAGAUAAAGUAUUCAAAAUGCAAGGCUGCAUCAAAGAACAUGGGAUAACAUAUUAAAAAAUGUAAAAAAAAAUGUUAACCAACAUUAAAAGUUGUCGAAUUACAAGUUAGCACUUUUGUAGCUAUCAAAAUAAUGUUGAUGGUGUUAUGAUCAUAACACAUAAUAGUUCAUGGAUAUUUUCAUGUGAUUCAUAUAUUUCAGGUGCUUAAUAUUUAUUUUUUCAGAUGUGUGAUCAUAUGAUGUUGUAUUAUUCUUACAGUUAGUAAUCAUUUUCUUAAAAUAUGACCUACGUAGUAGUUAUCAUAAUACUGUCACAAUGAUGUCACUCAAAAUUUAAAGCUACAUAAUGUUUUUUUUUUGAAAAUUAAAUUAAACAUUAUUUUUAGUAAAAAAAGAGCUGCUGUUAAUACAGAAUCUCAAUCUGAGAUUUUGAUUCAACUACUUGAAAUAUGUUUCUUAUUGCUAUUGGAAUUAUUAUGCAUAUCCAUGAGAAUUAAUUCUUCAUGAAUCUACUUCUGAUUGUCGGAUUUGCACAUUCAAAUUUUUUGGUUCUAGUUGAUAUUAUUUCUUUCUUUGUAAUAUUUUUCUAAAUGGAAGAAAUUAACAUUUUUCAAAUUUUCUCCUAUUCAUUAAUUAGUUGUUAUACAUAUAUUCCAACGUAAUCAAUACAAUACUAAAAGGAAGAUAUAAUCCAUCGAGAAGGUGUCCACGUCAGCUCAAAUAAUCAACCAAUUAGAAAACAGCUAUGUUAAUGAAUAAUUCCACGUCACCGAAGCACUUCUCUUUCGCGUUCUCACCGUCUUACCGACGACGAAAGAAACCGACCUAAUUUGUCGUUACAGUUCAAUCGUAAAUUCUGCAUUCAAUUAUUAUUAAACAAAUAAGAAACUCUUCAAAUUCAUCCUGCAUUCCACAUCACUAUAUUAAUCGAUGGCGAGUUCUAGAUUUGAAGAUUCUAAUUACGCGAAGAAGCUGUUUCGUCUCUCCUCUUUGUUCUACGGCGCAAGGAGACGCCUGAGCUUUUUCCUGACCAGAGUCGACAAUGAUUCAAGAGCUUUUGUAAACUGGGAAAACACUGAAAUAUUUCGAUAAAAAGAGUUGACCUUCCACCCCAAAAUACCAUGGAGUCUCUCUAAAUUACACAGAGGUGGCAUCCAGCUCUCGGAUUAUAGAAUGGGCGCUUUGAUCGAUACAGUUGACAAUCACGAAGGCCCUGUUUGUUCUCACUCCAUAGCCUUUCUUCUUCUGAAGAGUGAUCUGUAGAAAGUAAUGAAGAGGAAGGUGGUGCUUACAAUCCACUGAAGCUGCCAAUGGGUUAGGACGGGAAGCCAAUACCAUACUGGCUCUACAAGCUUCAUGGACUUGGCCAGAAGUUGAAUGCGAGAUACGUGGAAACAGUGUCUACAUGGGUAGAAGGGCUUUUGAGAGACAUUUCAAAAAGAGUUUCACAACCAAAUGGAUGCCAGAACUUGAAGAAGACUUACUCUGAUCUCCAACGUCAACGUUGCGUUCCACCUUUUCCCAACGAACGGAGCCAUUGCAAGACCUUGACAAAGAGUGGCACAUCUCAUUAACUCAACUUCGUAAUUGAUAGACGUGGGACCUCAAAAGCUUAAGGAGGCGCUGGGGGCACUGGGGCUGAAAGUUGGUGGUACUUUGCAGCAACAUGCCGAGAGACUUUUCCUUACAAAGGACUACAACUGUUCGUCUCAGUGCUUUCGAUGUUCAGGCCAGCCAACUUCACCAGAACUUAUUUAGGGUACGUGUUGAGCUUACGGUCAUUGUUUCCACCAGAAUUAGUCCCAAGUUUGUUGGAGGUCGCCUAUUCAUGAUGAUUCAAGUUUAUAUAUUUUGGAACUUGCAAAUAAAGAGAUGUUGACUUGACCAACCGCUGGUUUGGGCGAGUCUGGAGCUAGCUGCUCCACAAGUUCUACUAAAUAUGGUGGUGUAAAGAAAAUUGCAUCUGUUACGGUGUCCGAGCUAAAUGCAUACGCUCUCAAUGCUUCUAGCAGUGUGACAUAUUGUAAUGCGUGUUGACAGGGCGGAAAUAACCACCCCAGUGGUAAUUCUAUGCCUGGCGCAGUGGCGCUAUAUGUGUGUCCUGCAUCUGCUCAGAUGGUCAGAAGUUAAAAGAAACUGACAUAGCUAUAGGCAGUGGUGAAAUCCCUGUGAACCCAACUCCUCUGCUGAAUGAAACCACAACAGCUGCUCAAACAACUCUGAUGAAAGCUUAGCUGCAUAAGUUACCCAUAUAUAGUUUCCUGCAUUUUCUGAAACGUCAUUUGCAUUGUCUUUUUCAAAACAUCGUUUGGUUUCAUGUUUCCAACUUAUUUAUCAAUAAAAGCAUAUUUUAAUAUUGGACCGGAUACACAUCAAUUUCUUAUAGUUCAUUGAUGUGAAUAGAUCACUAACCAUUUGUUUUCUUUUUACCUGACGAAGUACAUAUUUACUGUGUAGGUCAGAAUUACCUUUGACAAUUUGUACGAAAAUUUGAAUGAAAAUUAUUUUUAACAUGA